UGAACUUUGGGCACUGCUUUUGGCUCAUUUUGUCUAAUUCUUUGAUGAAACGAGAAGAACCUGGAAUCUAAUUCCAGAAGGAGAGGUGAGCACCCUGAACGCAGUAACGUUUAGCUGGGGAACCCCUUCCUGUCCUGUCUGCCUGGACCCGUGAGAGCCUCCACCUAUCCUGAGGAUUUGGGGGCACAGUGUGCUGCAUCUGCUUUGACCUGGAGGGACCUCGAUUCCCAGGCUUUCUUGCAUUCUGGCUUUUCGGGCAACAGGAGGGACACAGAGCGGGUCAGAGAUAAUGAGGAC
rnacentral:lncRNA from 1 species